UCAAAAUGCUCAGCAAUAUGCAAGCUAAAAAUGUUGUCCCGCGUCAAGGAUGUUUCAGCAAGAACAGAAGAUGCAGGUGAAAGAAAUUAAAUCAAAAUCUCUACAUCUAAUUUACUGCAAGUCCUCUGAUUCAUCAAAUUAUAUCAGAUCAAUCACUCAUCAUGUCUUAUUGGCAACCACCCCUUGCUCGGAAAACGGUACGGAUGGCCUCCAGGUAGUUCCGUCCGGGCCGUCCAUGAGGGCGAUUCCAAGAGCGGCUAACUCUUUCCUUAUCUCGUCGGACUUCU
rnacentral:lncRNA from 1 species